GAUCUCUGACAGACUCCGGUGGAACUUUUGUAUUCUAAUUGGUGUCUGUUUUUUGUUGAUAAUAAAAAUGUUGGUAAAGGUUCAAGCUUUCUUAUCUGGCCCAAGUCUUGAAUUUUUACACGACAUUACUUGGCGAGCCAGCCAGGAGAUUGAGUCCAGAGGCCGAGAGUUUCUGACCGGGACGGACAGCCUGUAUCUGAGACACGUGGCCACAUAGAAAAGGCAUGAAGGCCGUCCAAAUUCUAAAGUUUCCAGAGAGUAAGUGUUUGCUCGCAGUGAGUGUGCGAUGGCUGUCCUGGGAGGCACACAGCAGGUGAAAUUAAAUGGUAAAGAGCAGAAAAAAGAAAUAUUAGCUGCAAAGGUGGUCAAAGGAGGGAGCUGUGGCAGCAACAUAUGUGGUAACAGCACAACUAAGUAGUUAAAGAUAAAAUAAAAAACGUCAGAUAAGAGAUAGAGAAAGCUCAGAAUGAAGGGAAAAUAGGGAGAAACAGUUUGACCAGCAGGUAGAUAAUACUGACAUACGAUAUAGCCUUUAGUGAAGGAAAAGUAGUCACUGAGACAGAAUAAUGAAAGAGCCCAUCCUGGUAGAUAAGGUCUAAAUAGAUAUACCCCCAGAUGAAGAAACGUAUACAGCAAGUGGAAGAAAGAUAUAAGUAAGUGCAGUCAAGGGCCAGUACAGGCAGAAGAAGAAGAAAAAAUAAUUAGGGUCUUUAAAGGGUUGAGUUCAGAUAUAAAGGAGAGAUGGAAAAAGAGGCUAUAAUAGAUAGGGAGGAGACGAGAGCUAGAUAUGAUUAGAAAGAAUAACAACUCCCGAACGAAGUGAAAAGUUCGUCAUAGCACAGAUCUCAGAAAGACAAAAGAUCUGCCUACAGACCAAGAUACCUGCAGAGCUCAACAAACCAUGAGACAUGACGACAGCGAGACAGAGCUACAGUGGACAAGAUGGCAGCUCUGAAGUUUCAUGAAGAAGGCGAGAGAGCAGCUUCAAAAUAGACACAGCAGAAUCUGACUGUGAGGAAGAAAGGGAGGUGAUACAGGAGGCGUGCCAACCUGAUGCAUCACAGGCCCAAGCCCACCUCCACUGACGUCAGCAUCUUCCCAACGCUGAGGACGCGGCCAGUCAGACCACAUCUACCAUCUGCAGUUGAAUCAUAAAGAGGACAACACCAACUUAAAGACUGUGAACCUAUCAGCACAAAGUUUAAAAGGUCAAGAAGGCUUCACAGUGAAAAUGAACUUCAGCCAAAAUGCUCUCACAUGUGACCGAGUGCUGACAGAGACAUCACCAAGGAAGCGCUCUCUGUCUCACAUGAUCAACAUUACAAAUGGUCAGACUAUCAGAGGCCUUGAAAACUGCAACAUCUGCUGAAAAAGAACUGUUUGAAGACCUCACAGGAGUUUGGGAGCAGGAGUGUUGAAAAAUAGAAAGAUAGGGGAAGAAAAAAGAAAAUAGAGACUGAUGUUAAAUCCAAAAAGACUAGGAAUAAGAAUAAGGUUAGCUCAGGAUAUAUAAAAUAGCAAGAUAUGUCAUUAAUAAUUGAUUCAUUAACACAAAUAUACUGAGUCAAUAACUUUGCUGCUCUCCUCCAGCAGCCACCUGUUACUAAAUUUCAGCAAAAAGGGAUCAGAACAUCAGGCAUUCCUUGUGUUUUUAAACAGAGUUUUUAGAAAAAAGGGAUCUAGUGGGAUUAUUUUAUAUUAUAACUGUUAGAGAUCACUGUCUGCUCUGGGUUUGUGCAGAGGAACAGCCAGCGCAGAGCUCCUCAGUGUAGCAAAUACAAUGACAGGCAACCUUUCAGGCUUGAUUUUAAAGAGGCCGAAAGGAGAAGCCUCAUUGCCUUUAUAAAGCAGUUUCAGCAGCACAUUGCUAUUGCAUGCUUAAAUAUGAUGAUUGUGAGUCUUAAAUCAUGAUUGACCUUUGUCAUGUAUUCCACAGGAACAACCAACACAUGUGAUGCUGAACAGUUAAUCUAUGUUUUCUUUCUGUUUUUGUAGGUAGUAUUAGUAAACUAGUUUAAAGUAUGGAAGAAUUGUGGUGCACUAAUGAAUAAUGGAGUGUUUCAAGAUUUGCUAUUUGUACAUCCAAUAGCAAUGUAAUUCAAUACACAGAUAUACAGGAUGUUAGAGGGGUUAAAUUGCAAGCAAAUAUAAUAGGAUAUCUAGAAAAAGAUUAGACAGAUAGAAACAAUAGUUAAAGUCUCCAAACUACAAACAGUAGGAUAAAGCUCACUUAUUGGUAAGAGUAAGAUACAGAUAAGCAAGCUUAAUAAUCCUUCACAGCCAGUCAAAAACCAGAGGAGGCAGACGCAGCAGCAGGCAAGAUCAAGCGCGACCUGCACCACCACAGAGACGACUUUGACUAUCACCAGCUAUGAGUCCAAGUGAAGCAGCAAAAGGAAGAACAAGACUGAAACUACAAACGACUGAGCGCCCUCAAAUUGGUACCCAGUCUGUUCCCCAAGAAACCUGAGUGCCCAAAAAGAGUUCCAUAGUACCACGGACUAAACUUUCAAAAUGGACAUCAUACAUGUUUAUUGGACAUUUUACACCAUUCUGAAGUGUCACAUGAAUCAUUGUCAAAACACUGUUAUGUCUGGUUACUGUAUUGUUACACAGAAAGUUCACUAUGCACCAUGUGAUUGUUUUGAUGAUGUGAGCCUUUCAACACAUUAGGUGUUGUUAUAAUUGUUAAGAAAGAUAUUAUUUGUUUCACGAGUGUAAACCAUUUACAAGGUAUAUCUCACUAUAUUAUAGCGAAUAGUAUAGGUAGUUUAAUAUGUUAAGCUCAUUUAAAGGGUAAUAAGGAGAGAGGAGUAAUGGAAAUCCUUGUCAUUAUAACUUGCUCAAAUGUGUUAGAAACAGGAACAUCCCACCGCAUGAUUAUUGAUUAUUUCACAAUGUGUAAACACUAAUUUGGGUAUUUUCUUGAAGGUCUACAAGUCUGAGAAAUAGGUUUCAUAUGAAAAUACAAUAGGCCGCCUAUUUUCAGUGGUCACAGUGUUGGUGUAUAAAGUGUGAGGCUUUACAGCCUCAGAGGAGGGA